GAACCUCCGGGGAAAGGGUUCAGUGUCCAUGCCUAAGACUCCCUUGGAAUGGGCUAACCUCCGGUCAGCAGGAUGGAAAUAUCCCUACUCCACCUGGAGGAGGCGGCUGUGUGAAGCCACCCGUUCAAGUCCCAGCCCCUUCCCGCCCUACCCCCUCCACUCCCACCUAUGAAUGAGAUGGUGAAACCCGACACCUCCGGGAGGAGGCGGGAGGGUGGGCUCAUUCAUGCCUCCAUUUUGUGAAUGGAAUUCCUGACUCCAUUGAGAGGAAGCUGGAGGGGGAGGGGCAGGAGUUCAAGGGCAUGUAACCAGAUCUCCUCCGGUCUACAUCCUUUGAAGGUCAGCAGCGAGAGCGUUUCCCUCCUCCUUCCUCCACCUCACUGCCUGCCAGGCGGAACUAGCAGUCCUAUUUCGGUAUCCGGCCCCAUCAACCCGGAGGCCCCAACAAGAAGGUGGAAACCACACAGUCACCCCGCGUUCCAGUUGGGAACUGAGCCUGGCUAGUUGCGGGUUCAUGUUUCUCUUCGUUCAAAUCCGUUUAUGUGUUUCGGAUUAUGUGGGGACUGGGACACAUCCUAUUCAUCACUGUGCCUUCCAGCGCCACAAGCCCACACUCCAGGCCGGUAAGGUCAUUAUAACCUCAAACCCUUGCUGAAGAGAAACAGGAAGAAAGGCUUCCUAGGGAGUCACAAGCUGCCUGAGGGCAAGGACCUGCAAACCACUCAUCUUUUAUCUGAG